rnacentral:rRNA from 1 species
AAAAACUCCGGUGGUAUGAGAUGGGCCCGCGUCUGAUUAGCUGGUUGGCGGGGUAACGGCCCACCAAGGCGACGAUCAGUAGCCGACCUGAGAGGGUGACCGGCCACAUUGGGACUGAGACACGGCCCAAACUCCUACGGGAGGCAGCAGUGGGGAAUAUUGCACAAUGGGGGAAACCCUGAUGCAGCGACGCCGCGUGAGCGAUGAAGUAUUUCGGUAUGUAAAGCUCUAUCAGCAGGGAAGAAAAUGACGGUACCUGACUAAGAAGCCCCGGCUAACUACGUGCCAGCAGCCGCGGUAAUACGUAGGGGGCAAGCGUUAUCCGGAUUUACUGGGUGUAAAGGGAGCGUAGACGGCAAUGCAAGCCAGAUGUGAAAGCCCGGGGCUCAACCCCGGGACUGCAUUUGGAACUGUGUAGCUGGAGUGUCGGAGAGGCAGGCGGAAUUCCUAGUGUAGCGGUGAAAUGCGUAGAUAUUAGGAGGAACACCAGUGGCGAAGGCGGCCUGCUGGACGAUGACUGACGUUGAGGCUCGAAAGCGUGGGGAGCAAACAGGAUUAGAUACCCUGGUAGUCCACGCCGUAAACGAUGACUACUAGGUGUCGGGCAGCAAAGCUGUUCG